ACGUGACGCCGGGCCCCUCUGGCGGUAAGCAGUGCUUAUCGUGAUGUCGGAGUCACUAA
rfam:Pseudomonas sp. 20_BN genome assembly, contig: CONTIG000001